rnacentral:rRNA from 1 species
AGUGAACGCUGGCGGUAGGCCUAACACAUGCAAGUCGAACGGCAGCACAGUAAGAGCUUGCUCUUACGGGUGGCGAGUGGCGGACGGGUGAGGAAUACAUCGGAAUCUACUUUUUCGUGGGGGAUAACGUAGGGACACUUACGCUAAUACCGCAUACGACCUACGGGUGAAAGCAGGGGAUCUUCGGACCUUGCGCGAUUGAAUGAGCCGAUGUCGGAUUAGCUAGUUGGCGGGGUAAAGGCCCACCAAGGCGACGAUCCGUAGCUGGUCUGAGAGGAUGAUCAGCCACACUGGAACUGAGACACGGUCCAGACUCCUACGGGAGGCAGCAGUGGGGAAUAUUGGACAAUGGGCGCAAGCCUGAUCCAGCCAUACCGCGUGGGUGAAGAAGGCCUUCGGGUUGUAAAGCCCUUUUGCUGGGAAAGAAAAGCAGCAGGUUAAUACCCCGCUGUUCUGACGGUACCCAAAGAAUAAGCACCGGCUAACUUCGUG